UUUAAGCCUGUUUUGGAGGGCAGCAAGAGAUACUUCAACAGCAUUUCGAAAAGCAUCAAUUUUGUCCCUGAUCUCAACCAGUGGGGCCCGCAUACGCACCACAGCGGCGUCAACAUCAGUAAGCUUCGUACUAAGGCUAACAAAAUCCGCAUAAUCUCGAUUGAUGAGGUCCACCAGGUCACGCUGUAGCCACGUGAAGUGGGAACGGAGUUCAGAACGGAGAGUUUCGAGAGGAACAAAGAGGCUAACAAAAUCCGCAUAAUCCCGAUUGAUGAGGUCCACCAGGUCACGCUGUAGCCACGUGAAGUGGGAACGGAGUUCAGAACGGAGAGUUUCGAGAGGAACAAAGGUGCGUAAAUCGGAGAUAUAGGAUUCCGGGUCGAAGUCUUGGGAUUGGAACAAUGUUGGGUUUAGCCAUUGUGGUG
rnacentral:lncRNA from 1 species